GGCUCCAUAGUGUAGUGGUUAGCACGUCUGCUUUAUACACAGAGUUUGCGCCCCAGGUGGAGCCA
rnacentral:tRNA from 1 species